rnacentral:rRNA from 1 species
GUGGGGAAUUUUGGACAAUGGGCGCAAGCCUGAUCCAGCAAUGCCGCGUGCAGGAAGAAGGCCUUCGGGUUGUAAACUGCUUUUGUACGGAACGAAACGGCUCUGGUUAAUACCCGGGGCUAAUGACGGUACCGUAAGAAUAAGCACCGGCUAACUACGUGCCAGCAGCCGCGGUAAUACGUAGGGUGCAAGCGUUAAUCGGAAUUACUGGGCGUAAAGCGUGCGCAGGCGGUUGUGUAAGACAGGCGUGAAAUCCCCGGGCUCAACCUGGGAAUUGCGCUUGUGACUGCACAGCUGGAGUGCGGCAGAGGGGGAUGGAAUUCCGCGUGUAGCAGUGAAAUGCGUAGAUAUGCGGAGGAACACCGAUGGCGAAGGCAAUCCCCUGGGCCUGCACUGACGCUCAUGCACGAAAGCGUGGGGAGCAAACAGGAUUAGAAACCCGGGUAGUCC